CAGGGAUGAAGGGACAGAAAUGGAGAGGCAAGCAGAUAUAGAAGUUGGCAGUGAAGCCAGCCUAUAAAAACGGACUGCUCUGCUUUUCUUCCUUGCAGGGCCCAAGCCAGCAGAUGUGCUUUGAGGAUUCCCAUCAGAUCAGGCUUCACAGGAGAGCCAGAGCAGUAACAAGUUCAUAGUUCCCAGCAGGGUUUGAGAUCAAGCUGGAAGCUGUGCUGCUCUGGCUUGUCAGCCUGUGGAUGCCCAGAAGCAAAUCCUUUCCCUUUCUCUCCAGAGCUUUGCUCUUCAAGUGCCACAGGAAGAGGAACAUGGGGCUCAAGGAAUGAAAUUUUAGUAUUUGAUUCUUGGCUCAGCAGUUAGCCUAAUUAUUAUUAUAAAUGUGGCAGGGGAGGCCAUGAGAUAGCUGGGGAAACUCAAGAAAAGUCCAGUCCUGGUGCCGUGAUGUGCUGACAUACAGGAUGACAAGAAACAACAAGGGCUGUGAGACACACAGGAUUGAGUCUCUCUCAAGGCCAAUCUGCUUACACUGGGCAGAUUAAACACCAACUGGAAGACAAAAUCAAGGCCUCAUGCAGUGAAUAACACAAGUGGAGAGCUGAGGUGCAGCUGUAAGGAGGUGUUCCAGCACCACCAAGAAAUACCUUGCUAUCACACAACAUGCACUAUAUCCAUAGCUGGGGUCACAUGCAGAGGAUUAACAAAGCAAGCAGGAGCCAGGUGACAAUGGUUUUCCACUCUGGGAGUGUCUGAUCCUUCUUGAGGAAGAGACUGUCUGAAUCCACUGGAUUCCUGAGCAGCUCAGCCUGUGACAGACACAAAGUGCAAUCACAGCCCUUGAAACCUGAUGAGCCCCUCAAGUACAGUGAAACAAUUCCAGACAUACACAUGUGACAUGGGAAGAAUCAGGUGCCAAAAAUUUCUCUUUUGCCAUAAAGGGUAAAAAAUACUCAUUCUAAAAGGUAAAAUAAAAUGAAGUUUAUAUAUAAGUGUUUAUACA
rnacentral:lncRNA from 1 species